AGCAAUAUGAUGAGUUUUUACUCUGAAUUUAAUGUGGAAGUCACAUUUAGCCUUCAAAGUUCUUUGAUUGCU